rnacentral:rRNA from 1 species
AUUGAACGCUGGCGGCAUGCUUUACACAUGCAAGUCGAACGAGUGGCGAACGGGUGAGUAAUAUAUCGGAACGUACCGAGUAAUGGGGGAUAACCAAUCGAAAGAUUGGCUAAUACCGCAUAUUAUUCGAGCGGCCGAUAACUGAUUAGCUAGUUGGUGGGGUAAAGGCCUACCAAGGCGACGAGCAGUAGCGGGUCUGAGAGGACGAUCCGCCACACUGGGACUGAGACACGGCCCAGACUCCUACGGGAGGCAGCAGUGGGGAAUUUUGGACAAUGGGGGAAACCCUGAUCCAGCCAUCCCGCGUGUAUGAUGAAGGCCUUCGGGUUGUAAAGUACUUUUGGCAGAGAAGCGGUAUCUGCAGAAUAAGCACCGGCUAACUACGUGCCAGCCGCCGCGGUAAUUC